UGCCAACGGUGCGGUUCUGAUCCUUGGUUUUCCUGUACUCACUCUUGAGCUGUUUAAGCCACUCCCUAGGCUGGUUACAAGUCUGAUGUAUUUGCAAUGCUGCCAGCUUCUUCGCUAUUUGCUGGUAAUGCUCGAUCAUUCUAGCGUGCUUACUAUGGUUCUACUGGGUUUGCACCAGAGAGCCAUCAAAAUCUGGCUGCACUUUCAUGACAGUGAAGCGACGGACUUUGCAAAAAAGGCUUGUCAAUCUCCGUUGCAAAUGCUGAAAGCUUUCUGAUGGUGUGUUCACAGCUGUCUGGUCAGAAGCCAAUGGAAGGGUUAAUGCUGGCUCACUCAGCUGCUGCAGUUCACCAACCAAGAGGGGUCGAUUCCAUUUUCAUUGGAGUCAAUUGAGGAUUCUUGGGAUAUAGAGGCCUAAGGAAGCUGGCCCAUGGGAUUCUGGGAUACUUUUGACAAGCUCCCAGGACACGAGUCAAGCAGGACUGUUGAUAUUGCAACUCAAUAGGCCUUGAACCCUGGAUCCUGGCAUGGCUUGGCCCCUCCAGCUCUACAGGGUCCUAGGUCAAAGCUGAGAGAUUUGUAGGUAGAUAGAAGGGGAGGUUUAAGCUCAAGCUUGAGUCCAGGUUUACAUUGUAAUGUAACCAUACCCUUAGAAGCUCAUGGUUUGCGAGAGAUGCUUUGAACGAUGAGUGUAUGGACAGCUGCAGGCACUAUUCCUCAUACAUGAAAGCACAUCAGUGUGGUUGCUGAUGUGGUUCAUAUACAAAUAGCAUCUGUAACCCCACUUCGCUUGUUCAUGAUGGUUCUUUGAAAACUCCGAUGCUUCAGUUUAUAAGUAAAGUUACAUUGCCUUUGUUUCUUGUCAACUGAUUUCAUUCCUGUUAUACUACUAACCUUUGUAACUCACUGAGUUCUCUGUACUGAAAUCCGGAGUCUUAUUGUCGCUUGCUUCUCUCCCCUAUGCCUUGGUACAAUUUCCAUUCAGCAGUUGAAGAAACAGCCUAAAUCUGUGACAGAAGACCCAGGUUUCCACUAUAGUUGGUAGCAACUAUUUCCUGAAAUCAGGUAUUCGCACAUUUCCUGCCUGUGUGCUGGCCUAGCUCGCAUGUACAUCGUGUGCCCCACUUCACCAGAGGAAGAAUGUAUUUCUCCUAAAUACAGUGAACUAUACUUAGUAUUUAGAAGGAAAAUGAAACAUAGGAAAGUCUACAGACUACCUUGCUAUCCUGUAGAGAUGGUCAUGCUGUUGAAGUUUGUUAAAGAAAAAUCUUUGGGUAAAAAGGACCUGUUGACACUGUCUACAUUUGAUCCAUUUUUCAAUUUCCUUGCAUUGGUUCAGCUUCAGUUGUGUUAGCAACUUUGAUAGAAUAGUGGUGGACAGCUGCAAGGCUAAACCCUUAACACUGUAGCCGCAGCAGCAGCUGUCCUAGUGCUGGUAAUAGCAAUGGCACUAAAAAUGUGAACAGUGGAUAUUUUUCAGAAGUCAUCCUAGUGUAGAAAGGACUAUUGUUAGAAGUCAUGCCAGAUUUCUGCAUUUCUCUCCAACCAUGGUAUGAAAAUAAUUCAGAAAUUAAAAACAGCCUGGACUACUGAUUUGGAGCUUUUAUCACUUUUGGCCUAUGCCUGGAUCCUCCUUUUUAGUGGGCUAGAAAAAAAGCUCGUCUGCACCUCUACUUGGACAUCCCUAGUAUUUUACUUAAAAUACCUCACUGAUCUACAUAUCCCACUUUCCAGGAGAGCAACUAACAGCUCAGGCAGCAGGUUCUCCAGUCACCUAAUUCCCUGAAGAGAUGUGCUCCUCUCCCAUGUUCUUGCUUUGAAGUGUAAAAUAAUUUAUCCCUUUGUUCUACAAUAGAGUCCAACCCUCCAUAAUUCAAGACCUCUUCAUGCCAUUUGAACUUGGUUUGUUAAAAAUCACACUGCAAUCUUCUCAUUUGGCCAGCUAACUAAAAAAUUCCCCUUUUUACUAACCUGACCCCACUGACUCUUGAUCUGUUUCACUAUGUAAAAUAACCUGAUUUAAAUUCAUUUUUUUAAAUUUAUCUUUAUUCUGGCAGUUGUGACACUUCACUUGGCUUUGAAGUUUUAGGUAUCCUGUGAACAAUGGGUUAGUGACAUCAGCACUGCGGUACUAAUAUUCCAUUCCCAUGAUCACAAAUUAUGAAUGUUAGAUACACAAAUGGAGUAAGGUGACUGCCUGGCUUACAGAUUUUAAUAUACUGAACGUUAUUGAAGGUGUGGGAUUCCAAAAUGAAUGGCGAGUCAACCUACUCCAUCAUAAUAAAAUGUAAAAUAAUUUUUUGAUAGGCCAUUUGAUAUCCAAGGAGGGAAAACAAGGAUAAAAAAGCUGAAGUUCUCAUGGUAUUUUAUUUACAGGCUACUCAAUACAUCUUAUAUACAAAUGGCUUAAAGAAAUAUCAACAAUAAGUAAGCUGAAGUAACAGUUUCAGUAUUUUAAAUUUUGUUGCCCUAAAAUAAUUCCUAUGAUAAGAGUACUUAACCUUGUUCAGCAAAAAUUAGUUUGAAUUUAAGUCCAGCACUUAAUUUUUAAAUAUGAAACACAGUUUAGAUCUGAAUCAGUUUUCUGGAAAUUUUUUUUUAUGGAAUGGCAUACUUAACUGCAGAGAACACAUUAAUACUGCCUCAAACAAUUAUAAGCAUUAACCAAGAUUUUUCCACCAACAUAAUUCAAUUCUGAGACUUUUCAUCCUUUGCCCCGGGGGGUUUAUUUUUCUCUUAAAUCUAAAAGAAAAAUUUAAGAAGUUUGGCUGAAAUUUAUUUCCUCUACUGGAAAUGAAACAUGGGGCCAGAUCCUGUAGUUUGGGACCUAAUGGAGUUUUAGCCUGAACAACAAUUGCAUGGAAGUUACCUGUGCUAGUUUUAAAAUUAGUUUUACAGCUUAUUUAUAAAUCUCAGCAACUGAUGGGCCUUAAUAACUUUCUUCAAACUGGCACUAACUCCUGAUAUAAAUGUAGCAGGAACAGCAAACUCAAAGCAUCAAUAGUUUACAUUAAAACUCCUUCCACCUCUGUUUAACGUUAAGCAUCUGAUGCUUAGGAUGAUAAAGGUAAUAGUAAUUAAAUAUGUAUGGAAUAGGUAUGAAAAAUAUAAAUAUGCAAUUUUUAAGAUGUGUAAGUUUAAUUUUGUAGCAAUUACAUUUGCAUUUAAAGAUCAUUUUGUUACUUGGUAGGGGUUUGUUUGUGUUUUUGGUUCUUUUUUUGCUCUUUGUUCUACUCAGGAUUGCUUUAUCCUAGGAUCAUGAAUUUGUUUUUAUGUUGUCUCUCUCUCCUUUUCAUUUGGCUGAAACGAUGUAAUAUCCUAUUAGUGCAAAUUGUGAUGCCUGUCAUACUUGCUUUAUGUGUUUUUAAUUUUUUUACUCCAGGUAAUGUUGGAGACCACUUAAUUCAAAAUUAAGUAUUCAACGUUGACGUGAAUUCCAAGAACUUUCGAGAUUCUGAAAGUGCUGACAUCUACAUUUCUAGAUGCAUAGUGAGCAAGUAACAGACAAUUUAAAAAUGACAAAAAAGAUUACUGACCAAGUGCUACACUAGAGUUGCCCUGAGUUGUGAGUUUGGAAGAAGUCUGCAUGCUUUGUGGGGUGUUGGUUCUGCUAUCAUCCAGGCCUAAAGACAAAUCCUUCCUUGGAAUUUUAGCUGCUGUUGUGUCAUCUGUCAUUCCCAUCUGCUUCUGCCGUCUACGUUUCUUACUCCACAGUUCAUGACAAUCUUGCCACAAAGGAAGGCUGUAAAGAAGUAUGGUAAAUAUUCAGCAUUAUCUGUGUACAAAAUAUUAAAAUAAAUGCUCAAUAUACAACAUAAGAUCUGAAAAGGUGUCUCUGUAGGGAUUCUUUGAAUCCAUACUCAUAACAAAGGUGUAAUGCAAGCAUAAUCUCAGAAGAGCUUCCUAGAUGGAACUAUUUAUCAACUGGCUUCAUCUCAUAAACAAAUGUCCUCCUGGCAGAACAAAAUGAAUAUUUAUUUUCUCAACAUGACAAUGCUGUCUACUUGGAUUGACAGAGUUUACAAACAGGAAAGGUGCUCUAGUAUAAGAACUCAGCAACUUGCAAUUCUCUAAACAGUAAUCCAGAAUUUUUGCUUUAAAAUAGGGGAAUAAAUGCUUUUGCUUUUUUUUUUUUUUAAACCCUUGUUGUUUGGAGACAUUCAUUCUUCUAAAUACACUUGAAGGUCACUAACUCUAGGAAAGAUGUACAAAAUGUCUGACUAACAAAUCAAACACGGAGCUAGGGAACAGUUCUCAUUCAUAGUACAGGAGCCACUCAACUUUGCAGUUCUCUUAAUGGGACGGUUACUAAUAUCUGUCACAUUAGGUAUUAUGUUUGUACUACCUUUGUUUUCACCACUACGCAAUGAACAUUAAAUACACACUCCCAUUUUGUAUCAGGUAAGCACUGACAUUACCACAGGAAGUAACUUACUCUGGUGGAGGCAUUUUAGCAGGCUCCACAUCUCGCAGAAACUCACACUGAAGAGCCUGUUCAGCUGUGCAACGCUUGCUAGGGUCCAAAGCAAGCAUAUAAUCAAACAGAUCUAAUGCAGCUGGUGGAAUACUGGCAAGAAGGAGAGAAAAAUGGGGGUGGGGGGUGUCACAUUUGUGUUAUUUCAGAUGCCACAUCUUUGUGCUAUAAAACUUGUAUUUUUUAAUUUUGUCAAGUAGCGUUUAAUUGUAUGAUUUAAAACUUGGGCCUUAUAUUAAUACAUUUGUUUUAAAAGUUUUCCUUUUAACAAGGGUCUAAUAUUACUAUACACUUUGGAAUUUAGCACAGACAUUUAUACUUUUUAAUUGGGCUACAGACAAUAAUUCUACUGCUUUAAAGUUACACAAGUAGGCUCCACUAAUAUAAACAGGAUGAUACAUUUUCCUAAACCCCAAAAUAGUUGAAGGAGAAAAGGCAGUUUUUAAAAUAAUCUUACAGAUGUUUUCCGUAACUUUCAUGUUUGUUAUUUGCACGAGACAACUCCAAUGGCAUUAUUUUAGGAUACAUGGCUUAGAGAAUUAGUCUUAUAUACUGAAUUUAUGACUAACAAGUCCCUAAUGUUAGGCAAUCACAGUUAAAAGUGACUAAGUACCCUGACCUGCUUUUAGCCAUAGGGACAAUGAGCAGGUGCAUCCAGGGCCAAAGAGCAACCAUUUCCGAAGUACAAAGCUGACAGGUGGCUGAAAUAUUUGGGUCAAUUCCUUGAUACAUAUACACAGCUCCCAUUAACUAACAACAAUAAUAGCUCGGUGUGUGUAUCAAGGGAAGGAUAGGAACUUCAGGUCACUUCUCUCUACAUUUGACUGAACCCAGAAACAAAUCUUUGAAAAAUACUGAAAUUCUUAAAGGACCUAAGAAAACUUAAUGGAAUACAGAUGGUUAAAUGAAGGCUCCAUCCUUACAAAGCAAACUCUUCUCUCAAUUUUCGACGAUACUGCUUCUUUGGUUUCAUGGUGUUGAAAUAGGCUAACUUUAUUACAUCAGGCCAGACUGCAGGACAAGGACUCCCACAAAUUCGGCUAUACACCAAAAACAAAAACAAACAAACAAAACAAAACCAUCAAUGUAUGAGAUCAAACACAACAAGGUGUGUAGUUGUAGUUUUAUACUCACAGGCACUGUUAAUACAAAGAAAACAAAUUCUAGUCUCCAUGGACAUAUUCACAGGCUGCCUGUGAUCCAUGGCCAUGAGGUUUUUCAAGAGUUGGGGAGGAAGUGUAGGUAAAUAUCCACUCUUAAGAGGCCAACGAAUACGCCACUAGAAAAACUGUUACCUCCCCCACACUUCUCCAGAGUAGAGGCUCUUUAUAAACAAUUACUGUGUUCUUGAAAAUGAUAGAAGACUCCACUUAGCAUACUCAGGUAGCAUCCCAUGGACCCUAAUGCAAGGUCAGUUUCUUCCACAGACGGCUAGACAGGAGAGAAAUUUAAAGGGCAGGAGUGAAUUUGGAUGAGUUUAGAUCUAUUAUGUUUCUCUCUUUUACUCUUGGUGUGGAAAGGAACUCUGACAAAUGACUGGAGUAAACAACACUCCAUUGCUGACUAAGAAUUUAGUUAUCUGCUAAAGAACAGCAAGGUGCCUUGUGAGGACCAAAGGUGGUGGCGGAGAUUUGGUGUUUGAUUUUUAAAUUUAAGAAAAAGGACUGGGGGUUGAAUUAAAAAAAUUAAAACGAUCUUUUGGCCAAAGGAAAGGGUCACUGAGCCAGCCCACCUCCCUAUAUGUGGUUGCACAAGUUUGUCCCUUCCACUGGCUUUGUCUAGCAUAGGAUUUAAAGAUGGGGUGUUCCAAUGUGUUAGCCACCACAUUUUUCAAAAGUCUGUUGUGGACCAGACAGUGUAGACUUUAAUACAAGCAAACCUGAUGGAGUUAAAACCCAAGCUCUCCUCAGGCUUUAACUCAACAAAUCUUAGCCCAUGUUGAAGGCAUUGGGCCUCGUCUACACUAGGCUUUUUCAAAAGUGUUAGUCAGAAGGUAUUAGUAACAUAUUUUAACAGUACCCCUUUCAUCCUAGUCUAGACAAGGCCACUAAGCGUGAAAAGUAGGGUUUAUGUUUUGUGGGCCUUGCAGCCAGAAAGCUAAAUUUGCAUAAAUCCCUGGUUGAUGCUGCUUGUUUGUUUUCAACUUCCACAGCAAGUUUUUCCUAUAAAUAGGGUGGUGUUGGGCAGAAGAGCCUACCACCUUUUAUGGCCCUUGGAUUCCCAGAAGACUAGAAGUAUUUUCUAGAUAGCUAGAGACUUAUCUAUAGACCAUAUUUAUACCACUGUGCUGCCUUUGUGCAUAUUUAUACUAUCUAAAGCAUAUUCUGAAAAAGAAGUUAAGACAAUGCUACUUUUUCCUCUAGACUUUUUCCUGAUCCAAGUCUAUCUGUGGUCUUGAAAUACGGAGGGAAAGACCACGGGGGGAAAUAAAAAAAAAAAAAAAAAUCACAAAAUGUUGAUAGUCACCUAUGUUGGUGGUAGAAGCAUCGAAUUAAUUAAAGUGGCUUGCAGGCUAAAAAUUGACAACGAUAUGACUAAGAACUAUUCCAUUAUAGGUGGUUUAGGUUCCAGUUAAAAUGUGCUGGGAACAGUCAUAAUGUAUUAAAUUUUUAAAUGUGCAGCAACAAUAAAGAGAAAAAAUUAAGCUAUGAACAAUUAGUUGACAGUGUCCUUUUGAUAUCAAAAUAAAUUUUACAAAUGACAUCAACUCACUCUAUACAAAACUAUGUCCAGUUUGGUAAAGAAAGCCAGAACUGGAAUUAAGUGCUACACUGCCAUCUUGUGGUUAAAGCAAAAACAACAAACGUGUAUUCACACAAUAUGAGUUUUGUUUUGAUAGUGUAAAAUGACAACAGGGUGACCAUCGCCAUGUUUUGCUCCUUCUGAAGGGUUGUUACACUUUUACAGACCAACUUUCCUACAUGUUACAUAUAGCAUUUACAGCCCAUGUAACUUAUUGCUUUUCAGAAUCAAAUAUUUGACCUCCUGUGAAAAGAGAUCAGGGUAAAGGACCAAUUCACUGACUCAUCCUCUUUUUCCUUUUGUAGGAAGAAGAUUCCAUCCCACUGCCUAGGCUGAUUAUGAUAUUAGAAGCAGGAGCCAGCAUUUGCCACCUGAAUAGAGAAAAGAGGCUCUGACUCUACUAAUUCAAACAGCUACUGCCUGAGAAGAUCCACUGGGGUGGGAAGGUGAAGAAAGCCUUUACCUCCCCAAGAUAUCUGGCAACUCUUGAGGGAAAGCAGAGAAACACUCCUUCCUGCAGCAGACAGAAGCCAGUUGCAGACAUGUGAGAGAAUGAAGAAGCAACAUAGGACCAGCAGUAUGAGAGAACCUAGCCUUGAGCAAAGCUUUCCCUUUAAAACAGUCAUUCAUUAUUCUCCAUAUUGGCCUUUUAACAUGCUGAUGGGAGAAUGGAGUAAGGAAGCUGCAGUCUCACCUGCUUAAAAGGGUGAGCAUGUCAAAUGCCUCGUUGUGAGACGGGUUUCAGUAAGGGGUAACUCCAGCUGCACUAUAAAAAAUCCUACCUACCACUGCAUUGCUUAUGCCAUGGAAAGCUACUAAGUACUUCUCCAAUUCUGAAUAGUUUGUUUUACAUCUCCCCAAAAGCUACCACCAUUUUUAUUCUGAGAAACAACUCUGACACCUUUUAAAUGUUAAUAUUGUAACUCCAUUUUUUUGAAUGCUCAUGAAAAAUAAAAGUAUUGUCUAUGAUUUUAUAAAGCACCAACCACACUGUGGAAUCAAAAAGUUACCUUAUCAGUUCCAGCUGAGCAAGUUCCUGAUUUGCUUGAAAUAUUGGUUUUUUAGUAAAAAGUUCGCCCAGGAUACAGCUGUAAAAUAAAGUUUUAUAUAAUUCCAUCAAUAUCAUUUGAUAUAAAAGUUAUUUGAGAUUUAUUUUGGUUCAUGAUUUACACUUAACACUUUUGUAUUAAAACUUCUUACCCACAGCUCCAGACAUCUAUGGCUGGUGUGUAUCUUUCCUCUCCAAGCAGAAGUUCAGGAGGCCGGUACCAUAAAGUAAUAACUUUGUUGGUAUAUGGUCGACUGAAAAAAAGAAGAUAGAAAGAUUCAACAUUUCUCUUAAAAUGAGAUUGUAGUGAACUAAUAAAAGUGUGAUGUUUCACUACUAUACUAUUGUUUUAAGAACGUUCCAGUUUUUCAUUCCCUUUACCAAUACUGAGGCUGCUGCCACUAUAUAUAAAGGUAAACAUUGUCACCUAUUUAAAUCUACCAAAGGACAGCCUGAAACAGUAUCUCAGAGAUAAGUAAACAUUCAUGGGGCAUUAAAUAUCAGGCUUCAGAAUUAUAUACCUAUACUGCUAACUAUUUAAUUGCUAAUCAUUUUAGUGAUAAUAAUUUAGUUAAUAUAUCCAUCCACUGCUGUUAGGUGCAGUUACUGGCACAAGGAAGUUGGUUGCUGAAGUGAUGAACAAAGACUUCAACAAUGAAAACAAAAAUUCAAGUCACCUCUGCCGUUGCCCACAAAGGAGAGAAGCAUAGAUGCAGCCCUUCCCUACUAUCACAAGUUUCAACUGCCUCUUGGGUUUCAAAACUCCCAGAUCUUCCCGGAUUCCAACAGCCCCAACUUUACAUUCGCAAGCUAUCAAAACUUCCAGCUCCCACUGAAAGACUUCUGCAGUGUUUGGAGGCAUUGUCACUACAAAAAUCUACUUUAAUUUUAUCAGACUGAAAACUGAAAGUUUGGGGACAGAAUAAAAUAAUGGAAAGUAUCAAAA